rnacentral:lncRNA from 1 species
GUAAGAGUACACCACCUCUUAUAAAACAACAACGUAAGAGUACACCACCUCUCAUAGAAUAACAACGUAAGAGUACACCACCUCUUAUAGAACAAAAACGUAAGAGUACACCACCUCUUAUAAACAACAACGUAAGAGUACACCACCUCUUAUAAACAACAACGUAAGAGUACACCACCUCUCACAAAACACCUGAACAUAAACAGUCACCAACAACAGCUUCAACUACGACUUCAACGACUUAGACAACAUUAACAACUUAAGACUCCAAUACUUUGGAAAGACAACUUACAACUUUACAACUUAGACCAACAUUAGCAUCCUAAUCACGACAGCAAGGCAGCACCAUUAAAUAAUAUGCAGCAAGUCAACAUCAACAAUAAUCAUCCAAUAUAACCAUUACAACUUCAUAUCAACAUCUUUCACAAUAUAUAAAUCUUUCACAUUUAAUCAUCAACUUAAAUCCACAACAUUAAUCAUUA